UUUGUGCUCACCAUGGCAGCAGGGUAUUUACAGCCAUUGCUGUGCAAGACGGCAUACUGGAGCUGAUUUGGGUUUGUAAAUGAUGACCAAGUUUGCAGCAAGAAGGCUUUGAGGAUGGAAUCGAUCUAGAUAGGUGGAUCUCGCAGGAGGCAGAAAAGAGAUGAAGCUGACAGAGCAGUCAAAGCACAAAGGGGAGAAGGAACAUGGCGCAGAGAAGCAGAAGUGCUUGCAACGGGGGCUCCAAGUGAAUCACAAUAAUACUGAUGAGUGGGAAAAAAUAAGUGAGAGAGACAGAGCGGGACUGGAAUGCUGAGCCUGAAAAUGUCAAGAAACAGCUAUUUAUUGGAUGAGGGUUGCACCUGAACAUUCAGGACUAUUCAAUCAACACAGGCUGGUGGGUGGUAAAUGUAAUGUCAUUUCACGAUACAUUUGAGAGUACUAUUUUCUCCCUCAAAAAUUGAAUAAAUGGCAUACAAGGACAUACGGCUACUGAAUCACAGAGUUUAAGUAACUUCUCCAGGAAUACUUGCUAGCAAUCUACACAUGAUUCACUGAUGUAAGUCUGUCUCUGUGAACCACGCAGUUCUUUCAGUUAAACAGAAUGAAAAUUGGAGCUGAAUAUCGAGUCAAGGAGUGUGAAACUAGUGAGCCACGAUGGUCCUAGAAAAAGCCAAGAAUAUAACAUUUGAAAUCACAAAGGCACAUAGGAGGACGUCCAGUGAGUAACGCUACAAAUGCCCUUUUGCGCCAAAGGAAAAAUAAAACUGACCAUUAAAAGAGUUAUUGCAAGGUCUUGAGCUUGUC
rnacentral:lncRNA from 1 species